rnacentral:tRNA from 1 species
UCUAAUAUGGCAGAUAAGUGCAAUAGAUUUAAGCCCUAUAUAUAAAGAUUUUUCUUUUAUUAGAA